GACGGAGCAACGCCGCGUGAGUGAUGAAGGUUUUCGGAUCGUAAAGCUCUGUUGUUAGGGAAGAACAAGUGCGAGAGUAACUGCUCGCACCUUGACGGUACCUAACCAGAAAGCCACGGCUAACUACGUGCCAGCAGCCGCGGUAAUACGUAGGUGGCAAGCGUUGUCCGGAAUUAUUGGGCGUAAAGGGCUCGCAGGCGGUUUCUUAAGUCUGAUGUGAAAGCCCCCGGCUCAACCGGGGAGGGUCAUUGGAAACUGGGAAACUUGAGUGCAGAAGAGGAGAGUGGAAUUCCACGUGUAGCGGUGAAAUGCGUAGAGAUGUGGAGGAACACCAGUGGCGAAGGCGACUCUCUGGUCUGUAACUGACGCUGAGGAGCGAAAGCGUGGGGAGCGAACAGGAUUAGAUACCCUGGUAGUCCACGCCGUAAACGAUGAGUGCUAAGUGUUAGGGGGUUUCCGCCCCUUAGUGCUGCAGCUAACGCAUUAAGCACUCCGCCUGGGGAGUACGGUCGCAAGACUGAAACUCAAAGGAAUUGACGGGGGCCCGCACAAGCGGUGGAGCAUGUGGUUUAAUUCGAAGCAACGCGAAGAACCUUACCAGGUCUUGACAUCCUCUGACAACCCUAGAGAUAGGGCUUUCCCUUCGGGGACAGAGUGACAGGUGGUGCAUGGUUGUCGUCAGCUCGUGUCGUGAGAUGUUGGGUUAAGUCCCGCAACGAGCGCAACCCUUGAUCUUAGUUGCCAGCAUUCAGUUGGGCACUCUAAGGUGACUGCCGGUGACAAACCGGAGGAAGGUGGGGAUGACGUCAAAUCAUCAUGCCCCUUAUGACCUGGGCUACACACGUGCUACAAUGGACAGAACAAAGGGCUGCAAGACCGCAAGGUUUAGCCAAUCCCAUAAAUCUGUUCUCAGUUCGGAUCGCAGUCUGCAACUCGACUGCGUGAAGCUGGAAUCGCUAGUAAUCGCG
rnacentral:rRNA from 1 species